rnacentral:lncRNA from 15 species
GGACAUCAGGGGUGCAACAAAGGCAGGCCUAAGCUCUGUCCCUCGGAGUUGGUGGAUGUGGAGGAAAAUAAUGAUGUCAAGAAGGACCACAUCGUCAGAGACAUUGAUGCAGCACCAGGACCCUCCCUGGAUAUCAGGACUGCUACAAAAGCAGACCUGAAAUCCGUCCCUUUUGAACUUCUGGACGUGGAAAAUGAGGAGAUCCUACCAGAAGAUAAACAAAAUAAAAAAUCCACCAGCAGCUCAUCCCCACCACACCUUCGUAGAGAGAGGUCUUCAGUUGCAGAGAAAGACCUGAGCUCUGUUCCUCUGGAGUUUAUAGAUCUGGACACAAACACAAAAAACACAAUCUACACCUUAAUCAUGUGUUCUUUUGACAGCCUUACCAAAGAGCAGCAGACAGAACUACGCUACCUGUUUAUACGGGAAAUAUUUAAAUGUGCGAAAGCAAACAGCUGUCUGAUUUCCGUUUCACCAGGACUUUAAGUGUUUUUAUCACUAUGGUGACCGUAUUGUCAAAUAAACCAGGAGCCUUAAUUUGCAGGAUAGACAUAACAUUAUUUAAAAAUAAACGUCUGACCAAGUGGCACUAUCCAUGUUAUCCUGUGUGUCUGCAUGAGGAAAGGACAUGAGAGUAAAACCGUGAUACUUGAUGAAUUAAAUCUUUAAAAAUUAAUUAAAAUAUUCCUGCAAAUUUCAAGGGGUUAAGUUCAAGCUAAGUUAAAUUGCAUUUUUAAAGUUCAUCAUUAUUUUGUAAAUCUUGCUUAAACAGUUUCAAGACAUAACCUUACAGACUUUAUAGUUUAUAUCAUUAAUGUGCAAUGAGUAAAUCCGAAUCCAUAUGUACAGAUUUAUCCUCCGGUGUGGGCGGAGAUUUAAAUCGACUAAUUACUGGAUUUAAAAAACACACCGUUUUCACUUGUAGAAAAUCACAACUUUAUCAGUGAUUUGGGUGAAACUCGAUCAGAUUUAGUGGAAGAAAUAUUAUCUGGUUUCCCAUCCGUUGUCCUCCACUAACUGCUAAUGUAGGUGCCGUUAGCAUGCAACCAAACAGGGCUCAGCAGCAAAAUUCCACAUUCAUAAAUGUAAAUUCAACAAUAAAAAACCUAAUUUUGUACUUUUUCUCCAUGAAGUUGUGCAUUAUAUUAAUUUGAUUUCUGGCUCCAACAACAGAAAGGCGGUUAAAACUGUCAACAUAUUGUCCUCUUUCUCUUUGUAAUAACAUAUAAGCUUCUCCUGGCAAAGCUUUAUUUCACUUUGUUUGUAUUUUAUAUGUUUAUAUACUGUUAUAUAUAUAUAUAUAAGUCACAUCUGAAUUAUAACCCCCUUUUUGCAAUACAGAUGACUUUGAAAUAAAUAAAAAAAAGAGACAUUUCUUACUGCUUCAAUGUGCUCCAGUGAGGACAUCAGGGGUGCAAAAAAGGCAGGCCUAAGCUCUGUCCCUCUGAGUUGGUGG